AUUUAAAUAAUUUAAAUAAAAUAUUGAUUUUGUAAAUCAAAAAUAAGUUUUUACUUUUUAAAUU
rnacentral:tRNA from 1 species